CGGCAACAGCCCGAAACUCAAAGGACUUGGCGGUGCUUUACACCCCUCUAGAGGAGCCUGUUCUAUAAUCGAUAAACCCCGAUAAACCUCACCAGUCCUUGCUGAUACAGUCUAUAUACCGCCAUCUUCAGCAAACCCUGAAAAGGAAAAAAAGUAAGCUCAAUCAUCAUACAUAAAGACGUUAGGUCAAGGUGUAACCUAUGGAAUGGGAAGAAAUGGGCUACAUUUUCUACCUCAAGAA
rnacentral:rRNA from 1 species